rnacentral:lncRNA from 1 species
GCGUGUGUGUUAACUGUUGAUUGGUACGACAGUAUAUAUGUAGCAGAGUGGAAGUACAUGCUGAGUUCCAGUGAUGGCACAAGCAUGUGGAAUUUUGUGACAAUGAAUCAUAGUUUUAAUCCACAUGCUAUAACACCGAUGUAACAAUAGGCUAUACAGUUUAACGUUAAUUUAAAAAUGAUGCUAAUAGCUCGCUAAUUUCCGCUAUAACAUUAAGUUUGAUGCCAUCGAGUGUCCCUAAGCUACUACUGUGCCAUAACUUUCUAGGAUUUUCAAAAUCUUCUUGCAGCAGAUGAAAUUUCCGCCUUAUGCUCCCUUCUGUUUUUCAAGGCUUCGUUAAGUAGGAUGCAUGAUCAAUUGUUGGUUUUGACGUCUAAACACAUGUGUGUCAAGUACUUGUGUGCUUAUUUUUUUCAAUUUCUUUCCUGAUUUAGGAAAAAAUGCUAUAGUUUUCCAUAUGUUCUGGUCAAGCCGCUCCUAAAUGGC